rnacentral:rRNA from 1 species
CCUAACACAUGCAAGUCGAGGCGGAGAUUGCUUAGAUGAGAGCUUCGGCAGGUAGUUCGGUAAUUCAGGCGGCGGACGGGUGAGUAACGCGUGAGCAAUCUGUCUCAGACGAGGGGAAUAACGCAGCGAAAGUUGCACUAAUACCGCAUGAGACCACAACGCCACAUGGCGAAGGGGUCAAAGGAGCAAUCCGGUCUGAGGUGAGCUCGCGUCCCAUUAGGUAGUUGGUGAGGUAACGGCCCACCAAGCCGACGAUGGGUAGCCGACCUGAGAGGGUGAUCGGCCACACUGGAACUGAGACACGGUCCAGACUCCUACGGGAGGCAGCAGUGGGGAAUAUUGGGCAAUGGGCGAAAGCCUGACCCAGCAACGCCGCGUGAGUGAAGAAGGUCUUCGGAUUGUAAAUCUCUGUCCUAAGAGAAGAGGGGAAGACGGUAUCUUAGGAGGAAGCCCCGGCUAACUACGUGCCAGCCGCGGC